AUUGCAAAGAAUUUUUAUCUAAUACACUUGGCUGUUAUUCAAAUUACAACGAUUCGACCCGCUAGCAAUAAUAACUCAUUGGGUCCAAAUCAUUGUCCUAAAUACUUAAGCCAAAUUAUUAUUACUAGCGUGUACUGUAGGCCUCAUAUACCUUAAACAGAAUUAUUUUUUCAUCCGAUAUGGGACUAUUCGGAUUGGCAACUUGGCAUGUAAUGAUUGUGCGUUCGCGCCUUAUGAAUUUUUCCUGUUUUAAUAUAUAG
rnacentral:lncRNA from 1 species